rnacentral:rRNA from 1 species
UACGUAGGGUGCGAGCGUUAAUCGGAAUUACUGGGCGUAAAGCGUGCGCAGGCGGUUCGUUAAGUCAGAUGUGAAAGCCCCGGGCUCAACCUGGGAACUGCAUUUGAAACUGGCGGGCUUGAGUGUGGCAGAGGGGGGUGGAAUUCCGCGUGUAGCAGUGAGAUGCGUAGAGAUGCGGAGGAACACCGAUGGCGAAGGCAGCCCCCUGGGCCAACACUGACGCUCAGGCACGAAAGCGUGGGGAGCAAACAGG